rnacentral:rRNA from 1 species
AUGGGGGGCCUCCGUAAUGCAGUCGAGCGAAUCGAUGGGAGCUUGCUCCCUGAGAUUAGCGGCGGACGGGUGAGUAACACGUGGGCAACCUGCCUAUAAGACUGGGAUAACUUCGGGAAACCGGAGCUAAUACCGGAUACGUUCUUUUCUCGCAUGAGAGAAGAUGGAAAGACGGUUUACGCUGUCACUUAUAGAUGGGCCCGCGGCGCAUUAGCUAGUUGGUGAGGUAAUGGCUCACCAAGGCGACGAUGCGUAGCCGACCUGAGAGGGUGAUCGGCCACACUGGGACUGAGACACGGCCCAGACUCCUACGGGAGGCAGCAGUAGGGAAUCUUCCGCAAUGGACGAAAGUCUGACGGAGCAACGCCGCGUGAACGAAGAAGGCCUUCGGGUCGUAAAGUUCUGUUGUUAGGGAAGAACAAGUACCAGAGUAACUGCUGGUACCUUGACGGGACCUAACCAGAAAGCCACGGCUAGUUACCUGCACGCACCCCGCUGUACGGAGGUGGCC